ensembl:lncRNA
CUUACCCAGUGACACACACAUGUACCCAGUAGCCAACAGGCUAGGAGUGAAACCUGAUUUCUGGUAUUUAUGCCAGAGGACCUUCCCCUUGUCCCAGAGAGCCCCACGUGAUGAAAGAAAAGGUCCCUCAUGAGUGGGCAUUUUAAGAAGUGACACAUGGAAAAUUCUGACCUUCUCCCUCUGUGCUGCCUUGGAACAGAGAGACAGUGGGUGCCCGAUGGAUACCUCAUCGGGGCCAGUCAGGAGGUCAGAACCCGCCCGGCUCCCCCCGGGGCCACGGGAUCUGAAUAAAGGCCAAAGCAAGUCAGACUCUCCAAGACGCACUGCCCAGCCACUGCCCCGGCAAGCAGGUGAUGUGCUCCUUCGCAAUCAUAGUCCCCAUGAGAGGACUAGCACUUUAUGGGGAGGACUCUGGUUGGGACUCUGCUCACCCCAAGGGUUGAUUGAUGAUGGAGGGGCUUUUGGCUUUUGCUGCUGUGCACUCUGACUUACUUCACUUAGCAUAAUACCCUCUAGCUCCAUCCACAUUGAUGCAAGUGGCAAGGACUCAUUAUUAUUAUUUUUUAACGUUUAUUCAUUUUUGAGAGAGAGACAGAGCAUGAACGGGGGAGGGUCAGAGAGAGGGAGACACAGAAUCUGAAACAGGCUCCAGGCUCUGAGCUGUCAGCACAGAGCCCGACGCGGGGCUCGAACUCACGGAGUGCGAGAUCAUGACCUGAGCUGAAGUCGGCCGCCCAACCGACUGAGCCACUCAGGCGCCCCAGGACUCAUUAUUUUUUACGGCUGAGUAAUAUUACAGUGUGUGUGUGUGUGUGUGUGUGCGUGUGUGUGUAUAUACACACACAACUUCUUUAUCCAUUCUUUUAUGGAUGGAUAGUUGGGUUACUUCCAUAUCUUGGCUCUUUUAAAUAAUGUUGUGGUAAACAUAGGGGUGCAUGUAUCUGUUUAAAUUAAUAUUUGUAUAUUCAAUGGGUAAAUACCCAGUGGUGGAUAAUAUAGCAAUUCUCUUUUUAAUUUUUUUUAAUUUUUAAUUUUUGGAGGAACCUCCCUACUGUUUUCCAUAGUGGCUGUACCCCCCCAGCAGUGGACAAGGGUUCCUUUUUCUCCACAUGCUCACCGACACUUGGUUGUUUCUCGUUGCUUUGAUUCCGGCCCUUCUGACAGGUGUGAGGUGACAUCUCAUUGUGGUCAAUCGAUUUACGUUUCCCUGAUGAUGAGUGAUGUUGAGUAUCCUUUCAUGUGUCUGCUGGUCAUCUCUGUGUCUUCUUUGGAAAAAUGUCUAUGCAGGUCCUCUGCUCGUGUUUUAAUCAGAUUUUUUCUUAAUGUGUAUUUACUGUGAGGGGGGGAAGGGGCAGAAAGAGAGGGAGAGAGAGAAUCCCAAGCAGGCUCCAUGCUGUCGGCACAGAGCCCAAAUUGGGGUUCGAUCUCACAUCAUGACCUAAGCCAAAAUCAAGAGUUGGGUGCUUAACCGAAGGUGCCCUCAAACUGUUUGUGUUUUUGGUGUUGAGUUGUAUGUAAAGACUUGAUUUUCAGCCUGGUUCAUGAUAAGCACCCAACACGAGGUCACUGCUGGAAUUACUAUUAUUAUUAGAGCCCCUAUCUCAAGAUGUCAAAGCUGAGGCUUAGAGUUGAGGUGACUUUUCCAAGGUGACCCAGUUGGUAUUGAAGGAUAAUUGGGGUCAUGACUAUUUCAAGCCAAAAUGUAGACUUUGAAACAGAGGAAGAGGGCAGAGGGCAGUUCUUUGAGGAAAUGGGGGUGCCUAGUUGGUUAUGGGGGGUCCUGCGGGCACCUGGACCUGAGGCUCUGCAGAAGGGCAGUCCUGGCUAGGACACGAGACACAGGACAUGGGGACAUCGCAACAGAGGGACAGAGGGAGGAUGGAGGUGUUGGGAAGGGGAAGGCCCCAGAGGCAACACAGGUGUUUUUCUCACCUGGAAAAUGAAGUGAUGACACCGUCGCUGGAAGCAGGUCUAGCAGCUGGCCCCGAACCAGAAGCAAGCACCAGUAGUGGGCACAGGCUUCCGGGAGCCUCAGGCAAGACACAGUGGUCUUAGAGUCAGUGCUGCCCCCUAGGCUGGGGUUCAGGGCCCUGUCCAUCCCAGAAGGAGCCCCCAGGGGCCCCAGCAUCUCAGCAGGAUUACUCGUCCAACAGCCUUGUCUGUCCAAUGGGGAAGCUGGGGCCCAGAUGGACGAUAAGUGACCUGCUCAGGGUCCCUCUGCAGAGCCACGUUGGAGCCCAGAUCCCAUUCUCUGUCCAACGCUCCCGCAUUGCCCCCACACCAAAAACCUAGAUGGGGAGAAGCAACAGGGAGCUCUGGGGACCCGGUUCUCUAAAGACCCCAGGUCUCCAGUCCCUUCUAGGACUUCUCCGCUGUCCUGGGAUCCCACCAUUAGAGACAAGUUCCCUGGGAGGAAAGGACAGCUCUUCAUAUUUGGACUUAGUUUGUAAUUACAGGCAGAGAUUGCAUAGAGUCAAAAUUACCCUUGAAAACAGCUUAGGAGACACCUGGUGGACCCUUCCACGCAGUCCUUCAACAAACCCGUGACGGCAGGCAUUCCCCCGCCUUGGCUCAGAACCCAGUUUCUUUGGUGGACACCAGCUUCGGUGGAUGAGGUCACUCAUGAAAAGUCCCCUUAUGUUCAUUUGGAAUCACUCCCAGCACAAAAAGGGACAGUCCUGUGCCAGGGACUGGGGACCUGGCCGAGAACGACAGAUUCUGCCACCCCAACACACGCUCCAUCCCGGCACACUGGGAUGGUGGGGUCCCCCCCACUAGCUCAAUCAGGAUCUCCUCGGACUCAACCCUGAAAGGGCAUACACACAUCUGUGGCUGAUGUGGGCUCAGUAUCCGGAUGGGGAUAAAUCACGCAGCUGCCCUGCAUGUUCCCGGGCAGGUGACUGACCUGGUCCUUACCAGGCCCCAUGGUUGGCUGGAGAAAGGGCAUAGUGGGCUCAGAGAUCAUCAGAACAUCAAAACUGGGAUCAAACCCUGGCUUUGUCAUUUCCUAUUUCCAUGAAUAAGUCAAGAUUCUCACCCUCUCUUCUCCAUUUCCGUAUUUGUCAGAGAGAAAAAGUGAGAUGACGGAGGAUAAAAUAAAGCAAGCUUUUCAUGUAACA